rnacentral:rRNA from 1 species
UACAGAGGGUGCGAGCGUUGUCCGGAAUUAUUGGGCGUAAAGAGCUCGUAGGCGGUUUGUUGCGUCUAUCGUGAAAACCUGCGGCUUAACUGUGGGCUUGCGGUGGAUACGGGCAGACUUGAGUUCGGUAGGGGAGACUGGAAUUCCUGGUGUAGCGGUGGAAUGCGCAGAUAUCAGGAGGAACACCAAUAGCGAAGGCAGCUCGCUGGGACGUUACUGACACUGAGGCGCGAAAGCGUGGGGAGCGAACAGG